UCCUUAGAUACAUAAGCAGGGAAAACUCCUUAAAAAACCCUCCGCUAUUUCUCCAAAACCCUACAAUAACUUGUUAGGGUACCCCCUCUAUUCCCAAAACCUUAUAUUCGAUAACAGGGAAAAUCCUGAAAAAAUCCUUAGUCUUUUUUUUCAAAUUCAGCGCCCCGCGGCUCCCUUCAUGCUCAGCCAAACAAAGCCAAAACUCCUUUUAAAAAUUUCUCCGCGAUUUCUCCAAAACCCCUAGAAUAACUUGUUAGCUACCCCUCUAUUCCCAAAAACCUUAUAUUCGAUAACAGGGAAAAUCCUUAUUCUUUUUUCCUUCAAAAACUUCCCUCUUACUAGCAAGCUCUAAAAUUCAACCCACACUCUAAGUUCUACCUCGCUCUUAAUCUCCGAUCCACAACUUCUUGCAGAGCACAAUUUUUUCCUGCUUGUUCGCUCCCCGCUCUGCUCCCGAAUGCGCUGCUUACCUCGUUUGAAAAUUCCCCCCUUAGACCAACUCCGCCUCACUGCGCCCCGCUGCCAAUCACAUAACCCUUGCACCGCUCCCUUCGCACCCCGGUUAGCCAAUCCGCUCCAGGUCUGAUUUUACGAUCUCCCGCUGAUGUUAAGACUAUCUUCGAACCCCAGAAGAGAUCUGACUUCAGACGUAUCAACAACUGGAACCGCUCAGACUGCUUGCGAGUUCGCAUAGGGAGCGACCGAUUUCAACAGCAACUUGCGUCUCUUUCCUUAUCCGCAUAUCAUUCGACCCAGCUGUGUUAACCUGAUCCCUGCGAAACACCAGCUCUGCGUGGAUUUUGACCGCGAGUGACCGGAUGUUGUUUCCGGCCUGAGGUUGCCUGAAAUGCCGUGAGGCUCGUUUGAAAGAUUGCGCCCGAGACCAACUCCGCCUCCAAGGCAUGCCUACCUUUAGCUGCCACCAGUGAGAUAUCAGAGCCGGGCUCCACAUAUCCAAUCAGGAGCACGAGCAAGACAGCUUUUGCAGACUCUCCAGAAAUAUACAAGUCCUUACCAACUGCUCUGCAACCCAGUGUUUCUGGUCCCCUCACUAACAUCGCUUUUUGAGAUAUUUUUUAUGAACCACCAAAAAAGCAAUUUUACCCCACAGACUGGGUCUGAGGGCAGCAGCGGGGACAAAUGAUUGUAAUGAAGCGACGGACAUUUCAUGGCUGGUCUUGCAUAAUCGUGAGUUAUUAUGUCAUAUGGUGAUAAGUACAUAGUUUUGCAAGAGGCAUACAAGCACUGUGGAAAAAGUAAUCAUAAAACUGUUUUUGUGAACACCCUACGUUAUGCUUUAAAAAAUGUGAUACAUGUAAUGUGAUCAUCAAAGAACAUGAUUUUUAAAAAAAAAAAAAACUUUUAUUCUUAUGCUUUUAAAGUAUGUCAGAUUAUCUUAAAACACUUAUGUGUAUGUUAUAAUGUUUUUCUUACACCAUGUGUAAUUUUUAUAGACACC
ensembl:lncRNA